rnacentral:lncRNA from 1 species
UUGUAGUUGAGGGAAGGAUAGAGAGAAAAAAACAGAUUUUCUAGAGUGAUUUAGGCAGAUUUAAGAGCUUACAAAAUUAGACCUAAACACACAAAAUUAUCACAAAAAAAGAAAAAUCAUCAAAACACCAAAAAGUUACAAACCGCACUCAUAACCUCACAUAAUACACUUAUCCUAACCCACUCACCACCUCAAAUCACCAUCAUUUCGCUCACACUUAACCUCGCAAGUUACCCUCCAAACCUCACUUACUACUCCCAUCCUCAUUACUCUUAAGCUCUCAAACACACCCGACCACUCGACCUCACAGAGUCACCAACAUCAACAGUACAACAUCUUCAAGCUUCCGCGACCAACACCAUUUGAGUCAUCUUGCAAGAAGAGGAAACCACAAAGUUAGUACGACUUAAAGGGAGCCAAAACCAUCUGAAAAGUAAAAGGUACACAAAACAUAAACUAUCAAAGAAUUCACUUUAUUAUUCUAAUUACGCACCAUUUCAUCAUCAUUAUCAUUAUAAGCAUGCUUUGAUUAGUAGUUGUCAAAAGCACUACUAACCUUGACCCUAUCCCUUUUGAUGUUGGCUUGGUAUUUUGUGAUGUUUACACUUAAAUAACUUCACAUGUGAUGAAAAUGAGUUUGCUAGCUAUAAUGAACGAAUGCUAGGACAGACUUAAUAAUGGAUUGAGCUAAGAAAGCCGAAUAGAGAAUGAACAAGUUGUAGAAACCUAGAGAACUCUAAUCUGCAUUGCACUUUGAAUACCAAACCGAGCGAGACACAAAACUAGCACAAAAUCAUCCAUCAACGUCAUCUCAAAAUCACUGCAAAAAACUUAGCCAAGAUCAAACCAAAAAUCAGCCGUUACCAUCACAAAGCCAUCAAAGGAUCAAUCGCCAUCACACAUAUGAUACACCAAAACUCAGCCCCUACUCUAUUACACAAGACCGCCAUAAACUCAGUGACAACCGCCACAUAAAUCACCAAAGAUCAGCUGACAUCAAACAAUCUCAACCAAGCAACCAAUUCAUGCUUUCAACUACACUAGAUCAAUUCCAUGACAGUAAACUCAGUUAGACUUCCUUGGAUACAAGUUUCCUAAUAUAAACACACUCAUAUCAAGUAAGCAAUGUAAGGAACUAGGAAAUACGAGUCUAAAAAUGCGGAACGCAUAGGGUUGAAUAAUCAAUGGUCAUACUAAUAAAGUUUCUGGGUUUAUGGAAUAACAAAGUAAAGCAAGGGUUUGGUUCUAGUGUGGUUAGUUCUUCACUUAAUUGUGACAGCCUUCUCAGUGUCGAGCAACCAUUAGCCUGCCUAGUUACGUUAAGUCCGUCCCUCCCAUCUUGUGAAUGAAACCAAAGCCUACAAGCUUCAAACAAGCAUUGGUUAGAAGGUUAAGUUUUAUUUAAAAGACCAGGGUAUUACACCUUCAUCUCUAUAUUACUACAUAGAAAUUAAUAGAAUCUCGGAGAGGAGGAGAAACCAAAUCCGAACCUGAAUGUGAUGGAGUUUGAACUGAGUAUUUUCAUUUCACUCUCCCGACGAAUCGACCCCUAAAACUCCCAAGCCACCAUAAUGCUUAUACAUUAGCUUCAAACACCAAACAACCCAACAACCGGCAUCAUUACCAUAAGCUCGACAAGUACUAAGUCCUACUCAGACCAAUCACGCGGCAAAAACACUAAGACAGAAAUCAUGGAUGCUGAAUCGUUACCCUAGAAGAUUUCUUGUCCCAGUCGAAUAGCCAUACAUCCACUUCGGGUCGCCGACCAUAAAAAAAAAAACAGUAGGGAGUCGAGAGAGGCUUGCUGGCUCCGUGAUCAUUCGGCGGGGGAUAAAAGGGUAGAGGCACGGGUUUCUUACGGAGCUUCGUUCUCAUCGUAGUUGCUGGAUCGGUCGCGACGAAGAGGGGAAGAAGUCACCGUCGAGCUCCUUACCGACCUAUGAACAAAUCGCCACCCUCGUCCUGGAAAUCGAAAGAGAAAGCAUCAGUGAAUGAAAUUGACAGAUGUAAGGAGCCAAGAGAGGAGAAGGUCGAGCGAGAAGAUUACCUUAGAUAUUUGGAGCCGAUCACACGAAGGAGAUGGGUGAUUCCCUAUGAAUUCGUCGGUCGACGGAAGGAAGGGAGUCGCCGAUGAUGGCCAUUAUUGAGUCGACUUUGCUGAUCAGAGUCGAGACAAGGAGCAGCUGCGGCUAGGGUGUGAGCAGGCAGAGGAAGUUUUAAGAUACGAGUACUGACGACCGCAACUGAAGAGAGGAGGAGAUAAGCUCCAUUAUUCAACUAGGGUUAGUGUUUUUUUUGAAAUUCAACCCUAAAAGAUCCGAUCGAACUACUAGUUAGGCCAAUGCAUAUUAAUUUGGGUUUCACUGAAUUCAACUCAAACUUAAAUUAAUUAAACAUCACAUAGAUGGACAUUAAAGACAAGUAAUAAAAUUCUUAAAUAAACUUUUAAAUCAUAACAAAUAAGGAUUUCAAAUUUUUAAAUACAUGCUUAAA